rnacentral:lncRNA from 1 species
AGUGUCCAGCAAGACAGCGAGGCAGACUCCCUUUCUCCUGCCAAAGCCACGUGGAGCCAGACAGAACCACAAGCAUACCUGUGGUGCUUGGAGGCCCAAGUAGAAACUUGAAUGCUCACGGCUGCAUUGGCAGCUUCUACUUGCCUGCCUGGAUCACCGUUCCUCAUGAGAACUUGGAAAAGCAGGACUAUCAUUCUUGCUUGACAGACGAAGAAACCAAGCCUCAGUUUUGUAGGCUCCUACCAGUGAAAGCCUCCUCACAACUCUCUUCUUCUCCCCAAGG